UUUCAGCAGGAAAUUCAGCCUAGUCCUGGGU
rnacentral:piRNA from 1 species